GAUGAACGCUGGCGGCGUGCCUAAUACAUGCAAGUCGAGCGAACAGACGAGGAGCUUGCUCCUCUGACGUUAGCGGCGGACGGGUGAGUAACACGUGGAUAACCUACCUACAAGACUGGGAUAACUUCGGGAAACCGGAGCUAAUACCGGAUAAUAUAUUGAGCCGCAUGGUUCAAUAGUGAAAGACGGUUUUGCUGUCACUUAUAGAUGGAUCCGCGCCGCAUUAGCUAGUUGGUAAGGUAACGGCUUACCAAGGCGACGAUGCGUAGCCGACCUGAGAGGGUGAUCGGCCACACUGGAACUGAGACACGGUCCAGACUCCUACGGGAGGCAGCAGUAGGGAAUCUUCCGCAAUGGGCGUAAGCCUGACGGAGCAACGCCGCGUGAGUGAUGAAGGUCUUCGGAUCGUAAAACUCUGUUAUUAGGGAAGAACAAAUGUGUAAGUAACUAUGCACGUCUUGACGGUACCUAAUCAGAAAGCCACGGCUAACUACGUG
rnacentral:rRNA from 1 species